rnacentral:rRNA from 1 species
UGGGGAAUCUUGCGCAAUGGACGAAAGUCUGACGCAGCAACGCCGCGUGGGGGAUGAAGCUUCUCGGAGUGUAAACCCCUUUCGACCCGGACGAAUGCCCGCAAGGGUUUGACGGUACGGGUAUAAGAAGCCCCGGCUAACUACGUGCCAGCAGCCGCGGUAAAACGUAGGGGGCCAGCGUUGCUCGGAAUUACUGGGCGUAAAGGGUCCGUAGGCGGUGUGACAAGUCGGUAGUGAAAUCUCUGGGCUUAACCCAGAGGCUGCUGCCGAAACUGUUGUGCUAGAGUGCGAGAGAGGCGAGUGGAAUUACGGGUAUAGCGGUGAAAUGCGUAGAUAUCCGUAGGAACAUCCGAGGCGAAGGCGGCUCGCUGGAUCACAACUGACGCUGAGGGACGAAAGCUAGGGGAGCAAACAGGAUUAGAUACCCUGGUAGUCCUAGCCCUAAACCAUCAGGACUUGGGGUUUGCCCUGUACGGGGCAAGUCCCGUAGCUAACGCGUUAAGUCCUGCGCCUGGGGAGUACGGUCGCAAGGCUG